rnacentral:rRNA from 1 species
AUGGUGGGGAGGCGAAUUGCUUUGGGGGCUGGUAAUCUGGCCAGGGUGUGGAAAGAUUCCCUGAAUGGUCUCCCACCACUCGAAUUAUCCUUCCCACAGCUGUUUGCAAUUUGCACUGACCAAGAUUGCACAGUGGAAAACUUCGGUGGUACUGUACCCUCUUCUUUCUUUAGACACUGUCUUGACCCUAAUCUGAGAGAUCAAUGGGAUAAAAUGCGUGCGCUAGUUGUGGGUUUAAACCUCUCUGCUGAUAGAGACUCGGUCUAUUGGGGGCUCAAUAAAAAUGCCAAAUAUACUACCAAAUCUAUGUAUAAAUGGCUGGAGCAGCCGAUUAGUGGCUGCAACCAUAGAUGGAUCUGGGAAUCCAAACUUCCUCUUAAGAUCCAGGUCUUCCUAUGGCAAUUGGCACAAGAUGCAGUUCUCACCAGAUCGGUGAUGAAAAGGAAAAACUGGCCAGGAAACCCUGUGUGUUCCUUCUAUGGCCAGCUGGAAACGAGCUCGCAUUUGUUUUUCUCCUGUCAUGUGGCUCAAGUGGCCUGGAGAUCUAUUGGUGUGGUCCUGGGGACUGACACAUGUCCUAAUAAUGUUUGGCAAUAUUAUGUGUGGUGUAAUAUGUAUUUGCCAAAU